CACACACACACACACACACACACACACACACAUCUUAUCUUAAUCCCAAAUAUGAUAGUACAGGAUAACAUUAAGGUUGUUUGACCUAAGGGCAGGAUUUAGUAAGUAUGUGAAAGAAAUCUCAGAAGAAUUCCCGCAACUGGGGUUAAUUAGCAUCCAAGAUGAAGUUGUUUUACCCUUCACAGGGGUGGAAGUCCAGACUUCCCAUAUGGUCUCCACUGACAUGGGGACAUGAUAUGGUGGGAAGGUCUCACUGCCUCCCACCAGGGAUGCUUCCUACGUGGCCUUUUCUGACAUCACCCUGGACAGAGUGUGCUUCCUUUACAGCUUGGCAGAUGUUAGAGGUCUAGGCUGUCCACUCGACAUUUGCUGGCAUGAAUGGGGGUGGGCCUGCAGUAUUUUCUGUGGUGUUUGGCUGGAGUAGACAGUUGUCUGAAAGCUUUCUGUCUUGCUAGGCUGCCUCUGUCCUGGUUCCUUGGCUAGAGAGAGGAGUUCUUUUUUGGAGAUUAUUUUUUUUUUUUGGUCUGAAUUCAGCAUUUCCAGGUAGCUGGCUUCUUCAGCUCCAAGUCAGGGAUCUAUGAAGCAAAGAGAAAACCCAGGGAACUCACCACCAUGGCAUUCCUUAGGUCCCAAGGUCUCUAGCUGGUCUGGCUUCGCUUCGUCUUUUAGAGUGUUAUAUUUGUUUUAUAUAUAAUGUCCAGUGUUUCUAGUUGCAUUCUGUGGGAGGCAUAGGGAGAAGUAUGUCUAUCUUCCCAGAAGCAGAAGUCUCCAAUACAAUGUGAUUUUAUUUAUGUAAAUUUUAAAAGUUGUAUGUAUUGUCACAGAUAUACAUACUUUUAAUAAAUGUAUGCAUAUAUAAACUGGAAGGAUAUAUAGUUAAUUCACCAUGGUGUUUAUAACUGAUCUUCCCUGAUCACUACCACCCAAUCUCUGUUUCCUCACACUUCUUUAGUUUUUUCUUAUGGCAUCUAGUAUUGUCUGCCCUCAUGUUGUGUGUUUAUUUGUUUAUUGUCUUUUUCCUCAUACUAGAAUGAAAACUCCAAGAGGGCAGGAACAUUAUCCAUCCUGCUCACUGUUGCAUCCUUAACACUUAGAAUAUGUAGUAAGCACUCAAUAAGCAUGUACUGAGUGAAUAAAUUAAUGAAAAAGUGAGUAAGAAAGGGGAUAAAAUGUAUCAGUACUUUCUCUGUAAUUAAAAACAAAACAUUUUGAAAAGACUGAGAAUAUCACCUCUUUCUCCAAUGAGAAGGCACAUGGAAAUGCAAGGGAGUAUGAGAAACACAGUUAUGGGCAGAAUAUGGACUCUUAUUUUAUAAGUCAAUUAAUCACAAAUACUGCUAUUUUAAGGAACCAAUUACUUGUAACACAACUCACAACUGAUCAAGACACACCAGUGGGAAUGAGUACAGCUGGAAAAAGCUCUCUAUUGUUUUAAUUCCUACUUUAUUAUUAUUGUUUUUUUAAAUUUUUUAAACAACUUUUAGGUUCAGAGGUACAUGUGCAGCUUUGUUAUAUAGGUAAACUCGUGUCAUAGGGGUUUGUCGUAGAGAUUAUUUUAUCACCCAGGUACUAAGCCUAGUACUCAAUAGUUAUUUUUUCUGAUCCUCUCCAGAUGCUGGCAAGGUUGCGGAGCAAAGGGAACACUUAUACACUGUUGAUGGGAGUGUAAAUUAGUUCAACCAUUGUGGAAAGCAGUGUGGUGAUUCCUCAAAGAGCUAAAAACAGAACUACUAUUUGACCCAGCAAUCCCAUUACCAGGGGAGAAAGGGAUGAGGAUGUUGGAUAAGCAGCUCAGCAUGUUCCCCAACAUGUAAGGGAAUCAGGUCGAGUUCUACACUCUCCUUCUUGGUACACAUCCUCAGAAUGCAGGAAGUGCCUGUGCUUGCUGUGAGUCUUUGUGGACAGAGGCAGGAUCAUGCUGGCUAGAAUCUAGUGGACAAGGGCAGCACAUUCCCCCUGUUCCCAGGUGGGUCCAGAGAUGUCGCCUGGGAGCCAGGGCCUGGAGUUCUGUUACUGUGGCUGAGCUUGCACCCAAGCUACAAGAUGACAUCCUACUCUUCCCUCACCUUUCUACAAGUAGAGGAGUCUCUUCUCAUGGCCACCAUUGUCCCAGGAUGUGAGGUCUGGAACAGCUGCAGCCAUUUUGCCACCAUGGGAAACCUGGGACAUCUGAACUGACUCCAUGAAGCCUGAAGAGAAAGCUAAUAAGAAGGCAGAGAGAAGAGGAAGAGUCUUGGUCUUUGGAAAUAUCUUUUGGAGCUGCUGGAUCAAGUAUCACUUGAAGUAUUAUUGAAUUUAUUCCCCGAAGGAGAGCGGCUAAGAGUAUUGCCCAGCCACAGGCUCUCAACCACCAACCCGAGCCUCAGAUUCUCCUCACACAGCCACAGCUGUACCACAUGGCCCACGUGUGCUCCAAAUGCCUUUUUCAGAAAUCUGAAUCCACAUGAAAACAAUGGCAACAAGAAAAAGGUGUAAACUUUCCAGAACAGGCCC
rnacentral:lncRNA from 1 species